rnacentral:rRNA from 1 species
UCGAGAAUUUUUCACAAUGGGCGCAAGCCUGAUGGAGCGACGCCGCGUGGGGGAUGAAUGGCUUCGGCCCGUAAACCCCUGUCAUUUGCGAUCAACCGUUAUUAUUUAAAAGAUGAUGACCUGAUAGUAGCGAAAGAGGAAGGGACGGCUAACUCUGUGCCAGCAGCCGCGGUAAUACAGAGGUCCCAAGCGUUGUUCGGAUUCACUGGGCGUAAAGGGUGCGUAGGUGGCGAGGUAAGUCGGAUGUGAAAUCUCCAAGCUCAACUUGGAAAAUGCAUUGGAAACUACCUUGCUCGAGGUUUGGAGGGGGGACUGGAAUACUUGGUGUAGCAGUGAAUGCGUAGAUAUCAAGUGGAACACCAGUGGCGAAGGCGGUUUCCUGGUCUGAUACUGACGCUGAGGCGCGAAAGUGUGGGGAGCAAACA